AGAGCGAACGCUGGCGGCAGGCUUAACACAUGCAAGUCGAGCGGGCGUAGCAAUACGUCAGCGGCAGACGGGUGAGUAACGCGUGGGAACAUACCUUUGGUUCGGAACAACACAGGGAAACUUGUGCUAAUACCGGAUAAGCCCUUACGGGGAAAGAUUUAUCGCCGAAAGAUUGGCCCGCGUCUGAUUAGCUAGUUGGUGAGGUAACGGCUCACCAAGGCGACGAUCAGUAGCUGGUCUGAGAGGAUGAUCAGCCACAUUGGGACUGAGACACGGCCCAAACUCCUACGGGAGGCAGCAGUGGGAAUAUUGGACAAUGGGCGCAAGCCUGAUCCAGCCAUGCCGCGUGAGUGAUGAAGGCCCUAGGGUUGUAAAGCUCUUUGUGCGGGAAGAUAAUGACGGUACCGCAAGAAUAACGCCCGGACUAACUUCGCGCCAGCAGCCGC
rnacentral:rRNA from 1 species